rnacentral:rRNA from 1 species
UACGUAGGGUGCGAGCGUUAAUCGGAAUUACUGGGCGUAAAGCGUGCGCAGGCGGUUUUGUAAGCCAGAUGUGAAAUCCCCGGGCUUAACCUGGGAAUUGCGAUGGAGACUGCAAGGCUAGAAUCUGGCAGAGGGGGGUAGAAUUCCACGUGUAGCAGUGAAAUGCGUAGAGAUGUGGAGGAACACCGAUGGCGAAGGCAGCCCCCUGGGUCAAGAUUGACGCUCAUGCACGAAAGCGUGGGGAGCAAACAGG